GACGAACGCUGGCGGCGUGCCUAAUACAUGCAAGUAGAACGCUGAAGGAGGAGCUUGCUCUUCUGGAUGAGUUGCGAACGGGUGAGUAACGCGUAGGUAACCUGCCUGGUAGCGGGGGAUAACUAUUGGAAACGAUAGCUAAUACCGCAUAACAGUAGAUGUUGCAUGACAUUUACUUAAAAGGUGCAAUUGCAUCACUACCAGAUGGACCUGCGUUGUAUUAGCUAGUUGGUGGGGUAACGGCUCACCAAGGCGACGAUACAUAGCCGACCUGCGAGGGUGGUCGGCCACACUGGGACUGAGACACGGCCCAGUCUCCUACGGGAGGCGGCAGUAGGGAAACGUCGGCAAUGGGCGGAAGUCUGACCGAGCAACGCCGCGUGAGUGAGGAAGGUUUUCGGAUCGUAAAGCUCUGUUGUAAGAGAGGAACGAGUGUGAGAGUGGAAAGUUCACACUGUGACGGUAGCUGACCAGAAAGGGACGGCUAACUACGUG
rnacentral:rRNA from 1 species